AUACGGAGGGUGCGAGCGUUGUCCGGAUUUAUUGGGUUUAAAGGGUGCGUAGGUGGCCCCUUAAGUCAGUGGUGAAAUUCUGCAGCUUAACUGUAGGACUGCCAUUGAAACUGAGGGGCUUGAGUAUCGUUGAGGCAGGCGGAAUUUAUGGUGUAGCGGUGAAAUGCAUAGAUACCAUAAAGAACACCGAUAGCGAAGGCAGCUUGCUUAACGAUAACUGACACUAAUGCACGAAAGCGUGGGUAGCGAACAGGAUUAGAAACCCGUGUAGUCC
rnacentral:rRNA from 1 species